GUCUCCUUGGUGUAGUUGGUUAUCACGUGGGUCUCAUAGUCAACACGCUGUGACUGCUUCUCCAGCAGAUAUCCCAAGGCCGCCAGUUCGAGUCUGGCAGGGGACA
rnacentral:tRNA from 1 species